GAUUAGGUAGAUGGUGGGGUAACGGCCCACCAUGCCGAUAAUCGGUACAGGUUGUGAGAGCAAGAGCCCUGGAGACGGUAUCUGAGACAAGAUACCGGGCCCUACGGGGCGCAGCAGGCGCGAAACCUUUACACUGCACGACAGUGCGAUAGGGGGACUCCGAGUGUGAGGGCAUAUAGCCCUCGCUUUUCUGAAACCGUAAGGUGGUUCAGGAACAAGGACUGGGCAAGACCGGUGCCAGCCGCCGCGGUAAUACCGGCAGUCCAAGUGAUGGCCGAUAUUAUUGGGCCUAAAGCGUCCGUAGCAAUUCCGGUUGAUCCUG
rnacentral:rRNA from 1 species